AACACAUGGAAAAGGGUCUGUGGAGUCUCCGUGCAACGCACCUACUUGGCUUGCCUCUUUAGGUCGCGAUGCACUGGUGUUCGCGCCCAAACACGCAUACACACACCUGUACUCCGACACACGCAUACACGCACACGUGAUACACGCGUUUCGCUCGUCCGUACACCUUUAUUGGUAGAAGAGGUUGAACCACUCGGUCACGGGUGUACAACACGCACGCCUAUAUUCGAAACGCGGCUUCACGAUCCGAUCUUUUCAAUUUUCCGAUAGUAAAUUAACGCCCUAAACGGUUCAACAACAUCGCUGCCGAGUGUACGCGAGAACAGCGCAGCCGGAAACACCGAUCAGAUAUCAAGAUGGAAAGUUCCCUCGGCCAUGUUCGUCAGCCAUUCAGGUCAUCAACAUCAAACCUGUCGCAAACAAACAUUCAUAAAAUGGCAGUUUGCCACAAACGUUUGUUGUGCACUAAAAAUAAAACAGCGUUAGCGAUAUGGCAGAAUAUAACCAAGCUACCUAUCUACAUGUUAAAAAUAAUAAACAGAGACUCAAAUUAACGAACAAGAACGAAAAAUGGAAGGGAGGGAGCAGUUUACGAAGAACCCGUGUAUAGUUUGUCGAGCUAAACAUUUCCCCCUGGUUGAACCGCACACGAAGACGCGGAACGAUCUUGGGUCGAUACACACGAAAGAUACGCGCUCUGUAUUACCGACGAGGCUCACAGCGACGAUAGCGGCAAGCGUGGAAGCACAUAAGGAGGUGGGGUUAAACGAGCCGAGCCACGAUUUCGUCGUCGUAAACGUCAACGUUACGGUUACAGCGUUGUUCCUAGCUGGUUUAUAUUGAACGAGCUUGCUCCCCGAGGUACGUAACACCUACUGGCAAACCGUCGUAUCGUCGAGUAGCACCAUACUCGUUUCCAACUCGACAGAAUGUGGCGGGAGAGACCACGUGGCUUUUACGCGGGAACCUCCUCUCGACGAUUCGACACUACCACCACGCAGAGUUCAAGAUGGAACUAAGCUGGGCUCAAAGUUGAACCUCAUCGUGGAGCAGUAACAUUGAAGUAAAAUUAACACUUUUAAUGCAAAAUAAUUAUGUCAUCACACGGAUACGAAGAAACAUCUUUAAUAUUGUAAAUUGUUAAGAGUAUAACAAUAUUAGACAUGUCGCAAACCAACACUACUACACUGUAUUUGAAUAGAAUGAUUAUUAAAAUUAACUAAUAACACCUGUAUAUAAAGAGUUAAGUAAAAGAAUGUGAUUCGGCCAGGUACGAAGCUAACGUAACUAACCCAGCUUAACCCAAAACACAAACAGUUAACGUUGAAUCGAUGAAAACUUUGAAACCAAAAGGGUGAAACUUCACUUCCUAUCCCCAUUUGCGCACGACAAACGCGUUGUUUAUCAUCCUUCCGGCUAGGGGUUUUUACACAGCACGCGACACACAUCAUGGAGGGUAAUAAUACUGUCCCGACGAAUCGGUUGAGUAGGUGUGCGACGAUAAAGCGAAAUUAUUUAUCACCGUGGCAAACGAACGUCGGUAGACGUUGAUGGCUCUAUAUUUGCUCACAGAAGACUUUAAUCUACGACGAAAUAAUCCACGAUCCUGUAUCGAUAAAUUUUCCUACGCGUGUAUCUCGCUUGUACCGGCCAACACGCCGAAGAGCACUUGCCGGCUAGCGCGAAGUGAGUCAACGACUUUCGAUCCGCGAGUAGGUACAUAGAAGAACCUGUUCCGUGCUAGUGCGAGCCGAUC